UACAGAGGGUGCGAGCGUUGUUCGGAAUUAUUGGGCGUAAAGGGCGCGUAGGCGGUGCGGUAAGUCACCUGUGAAAUCUCCUGGCUCAACUGGGAGCUUGCAGGCGAAACUGCCGUGCUGGAGUGUGGGAGAGGUGCGUGGAAUUCCCGGUGUAGUGGUGAAAUGCGUAGAUAUCGGGAGGAACACCUGUGGCGAAAGCGGCGCACUGGACCACAACUGACGCUGAGGCGCGAAAGCGUGGGGAGCGAACAGG
rnacentral:rRNA from 1 species